GUCUGUGUAGCUGCAGAGUUCAUGAAUGGAGAGUUCAGUAGAGGAAUUAUUGGUUCAGAGAAGUUCUUUUCUCAAGCUAUUCUUAUAAACACAUCAAAAUUGAAUUAGAAACUGAAAAAAUCUUGGAAAAUAAGUGGAAAAUGUUCUACAAACCAAAUAACUGUUUGUUAACACCAGUAUCACCUACCCAACUGAAUCCUGUCUAGGGGAGAUUGGGA
rnacentral:misc_RNA from 1 species